GUCUACGGCCGUGCCACCAUGAACACACCCAAUCUCAUCUGAUUUUGGAAGCUAAGCAAGGUCGGGCCUGGUCAAUACUUGGAUGGGAGAAGGAGAGGAGCUGGAACUC
rnacentral:rRNA from 1 species